GAUACAAGGGUCAAAAGGUCAGAAAUCGUUCCUGCGUGCAGGAUAAGAGUUCUGACUUAUUGACCCGCUCACACAUGAGGAAGUAGUGAUUUCCUUUGGAAAUCAACGGAUUCCGAAUGUGUGUAGAAUUGUGGAAGUUGCGUAGCAACGGAGCAAUUCGU
rnacentral:sRNA from 1 species